GCUUAACGCGAAGAACCUUACCUACUCUUGACAUCCAGAGAACUUAGCAGAGAUGCUUUGGUGCCUUCGGGAACUCUGAGACAGGUGCUGCAUGGCUGUCGUCAGCUCGUGUUGUGAAAUGUUGGGUUAAGUCCCGCAACGAGCGCAACCCUUAUCCUUUGUUGCCAGCGGUUCGGCCGGAAACUCAAAGGAGACUGCCAGUGAUAAACUGGAGGAAGGUGGGGAUGACGUCAAGUCAUCAUGGCCCUUACGAGUAGGGCUACACACGUGCUACAAUGGCGUAUACAAAGAGAAGCGACCUCGCGAGAGCAAGCGGACCUCAUAAAGUACGUCGUAGUCCGGAUUGGAGUCUGCAACUCGACUCCAUGAAGUCGGAAUCGCUAGUAAUCGUAGAUCAG
rnacentral:rRNA from 1 species